CCAAAAGUCUCACUUCGUUUCGUUCCCCCUGUCAACACUGUGACUUGCUAUCAAAUUCCAAAAGUUUUUCAAAAACAAUGGAAUAAUAUUCGGUAGUGCUAUUUUCACACUCUGUUAUCAGCUGGGGCCGUCGCAAUCGUCGCCGGAUUUCCAAGAUUUAUGGGCUAGGAAUCGCAAGAGCACAACAACAGCUUGUGAGUUACAAGAUUUCGUGCAAUCCGAUCCCCAACAUUUCGACGAAACAAGCAUAAUUGAGUUGAAAAAACGCAAUUUACCUCUUAUUUUCGGUAAUUUCACACGCCCACCGAGUUGAGUACCUCGCCGCAGGAGCUCCAGGACUCGAAGGACCUGCAGCCAGCACAAUCGGGCUGCUAAUGAGCGAAUAAAGAUAUCCUCAAGCCGCAGAACCAGCGGCAGGACGAGCGGCAGUCAAGUGGCCAACUGGAGAAUUCAGCAGUAGAUGACCCCCCGCCAGAGUUCGCAAAAAGGAAUGAAAACCAUAAAAAAUGCAGCCAACAAAGGGCACAAAUGCAUUUAUUAGAUGGAAAUAAAGAGGAACACAAUGCAGCAGCCCGAAAGGUGUCAAAAUCAACAAUUUUCAGCCUGCAAACAAUUCCACAGAAACCGAGGCACAGCGUGAUGCAAUUUCACCUAUUCGAACCUCCCUCCAUCCAGAAAAUAAAUCUACAGUAUGCCAGUCCAA